UACUCCAGAAUCUUCGAAAUUUGUGCCUUUUUUAUUGGGAAAAAAAAAAAUGGAGGGGCAGUUUGUGAAAGUGAUAACCCCAACUUGGUCGCUCCACCAGCUCUCCUUUGCCCACGCGUAUUUUUGACGGUCCCGGUCCGCGGGAUUAUAUCCAGAAACCGGCGAACCAAGAAAAAAAAAUUUUCCAGCACCCCGCACCAAUUUAAUAACUGGCAUCAGAACCGGCAACGUGGGGACGCCCUUUACCCCCCAACUCACCCUCCCGGGCCCACC
rnacentral:lncRNA from 1 species